rnacentral:rRNA from 1 species
CGUAGGGCGCGAGCGUUAUCCGGAAUUAUUGGGCGUAAAGAGCUCGUAGGCGGUUUGUCACGUCUGCUGUGAAAGCCCGAGGCUCAACCUCGGGUGUGCAGUGGGUACGGGCAGACUAGAGUGCAGUAGGGGAGACUGGAAUUCCUGGUGUAGCGGUGAAAUGCGCAGAUAUCAGGAGGAACACCGAUGGCGAAGGCAGGUCUCUGGGCUGUUACUGACGCUGAGGAGCGAAAGCAUGGGAGCGAACAGGAUU